UACGUAGGUGGCGAGCGUUAUCCGGAAUUAUUGGGCGUAAAGCGCGCGCAGGCGGUUCCUUAAGUCUGAUGUGAAAGCCCACGGCUCAACCGUGGAGGGUCAUUGGAAACUGGGGAACUUGAGUACAGAAGAGAAGAGCGGAAUUCCACGUGUAGCGGUGAAAUGCGUAGAGAUGUGGAGGAACACCAGUGGCGAAGGCGGCUCUUUGGUCUGUAACUGACGCUGAGGCGCGAAAGCGUGGGGAGCAAACAGG
rnacentral:rRNA from 1 species